UAAUUGCGUUAGGGAUUGAUGCGGCAUCCUUUUUUGUGCAAGCCUUUUAGUUAGUUGAAAGCUCCAAAAUUUGGGUUUAGAAAAUAGCGUGUUGCUAAGCCGAAAUAAUACUGCACAAAUAAAGAUAUAGCGAAAAGCCCGACCCUUU
rfam:Algibacter lectus DNA, contig: contig00009, strain: JCM 19300.